rnacentral:rRNA from 1 species
UACGGAGGGGGCUAGCGUUGUUCGGAAUUACUGGGCGUAAAGCGCACGUAGGCGGCUUUGUAAGUCAGAGGUGAAAGCCCGGGGCUCAACUCCGGAACUGCCUUUAAGACUGCAUCGCUAGAAUUGUGGAGAGGUAAGUGGAAUUCCGAGUGUAGAGGUGAAAUUCGUAGAUAUUCGGAAGAACACCAGUGGCGAAGGCGACUUACUGGACACAUAUUGACGCUGAGGUGCGAAAGCGUGGGGAUCAAACAGG